CUAAUUUUCCGACAACGACAAUGAAAAUUGAGCCCCUUCCCCUUCUCUCCUUUCUUUCAUGGGCUGUUUUCCCCUUCUACCGGACAGACUCUUAUCAUAGCGGCGCGGCGCUGGGCAGUCCUUUGAGGUCCUUUGGUGGAGCAAAUUGGAUGUCUCAGAACGUUGGAAACUGCAACCCACAUUCGAAGACAAAGAUUUUUCUUUUAGUCAUUUUUGGUCGCUGAUAUAUAAUAAAAUCACAUCGCUCCGCAGUCAUUCAAAAGGUAUAACGAAAGCGAACAGUUGUCAGAUGCGAAAAAAGUUUGCAGACUUGUCAGGACAUUUUGAUCCAUGGCGAUGAGAAAAAAUCAACAAUUACAUAAAUAGAGAUAUUUUUGUUCCACAAUCAUCAGUAAUAAAUCCGAAGGAAAAGAAGACUCAACAAUUCACCGAAGUGUUCCUCAAAAAUGCCGGAAAAUCUUCAUACUGAAUUUAGGGUUUAGCUUUAAAUGUAUUAGAUUAGUUUUCGUCGAAUGUCAAAAAUAUUUGUGUGUUGAAAUUUAUUUAGCUAGGUAUUUUGUAACAAAUUGUAUUAGCCAGGAAAUUAGAAAAGUAAGUUAAUAGUUUUAAAGACAAAAAAUAAUUUUAAUUGCACACAAGAGGAGCAACGCCAUCGUCAACUGUACAGCAACAUUUUUUCACCGCUGAUUUGGGAUGGUUCAAGUCUGAUGCUACCUUUGGAUCGACAACAGUUAUUUUGCGUUAAUUUAAGAAGAAAGAAGAAUUACAAGAAAAUGUACUUUUUUAAGAAGUAAAAUAAAAGUUUUUUCUAAAA